UGGGUUAGAGAAGUAUCCGGUGCUAAGAGCU
rnacentral:piRNA from 1 species